rnacentral:rRNA from 1 species
GGCGGACGGGUGAGUGACACGUGGGCAACCUGCCCUACAGAUGGGAAUAACUCCGGGAAACCGGGGCUAAUACCGAAUAAUCAGUUUGUCCGCAUGGACAAACUCUGAAAGACGGUUUCGGCUGUCACUGUAGGAUGGGCCCGCGGCGCAUUAGCUAGUUGGUGGGGUAAUGGCCUACCAAGGCAACGAUGCGUAGCCGACCUGAGAGGGUGAUCGGCCACACUGGGACUGAGACACGGCCCAGACUCCUACGGGAGGCAGCAGUAGGGAAUCUUCCACAAUGGACGAAAGUCUGAUGGAGCAAUGCCGCGUGAGCGAAGAAGGUUUUCGGAUCGUAAAGCUCUGUUGUAAGGGAAGAACACGUACGGGAGUAACUGCCCGUGCCAUGACGGUACCUUAUUAGAAAGCCACGGCUCACUACGUGCCAGCAGCCGCGGUAAUACGUAGGUGGCAAGCGUUGUCCGGAAUUAUUGGGCGUAAAGCGCGCGCAGGCGGUUCUUUAAGUCUGAUGUGAAAGCCCACGGCUCAAC